GCCGGGCUCGGGGAGCGAAGCCUCAAUGCUCCUUUUAACACUCGCGUUUAGGGCUCCAGGUGUGGGAAGAAGGGGCCAUUGCGCAGCAAAGCGCAUCGGCCUCUCUUGUUACGAGUGUGUGGGACCUUUUGUUCGGCCUGGUUGUCCCGGUAGUGGAGCCGGGACCCGGGAGCGCCCGGCUGGAGCAGGAACUGGGCUCAGACAAUGACAGACUGACCCCCUGAUCCCAGUGCCUGUUCUUUGCUGUACUCAGGAAUCCUCUCCACACCUGAUAUGGAGCAGCCAUAUGGUUGAGUUGGCACAGGCUCAACAUUGGCAUCAGAAACUGCAAAGACAAAAUCCCAGCAAGACCAGACUCUUCAAGGACUUAAACUAACAAAGUCAAGAAAUUUCUACUGAGCCUGUGCAAACUGAAAUGUUUUCAAAGCUGGAUUUCCAGAGAAACAGUAUUGCUGGUACAAAAGCAGCUCAUCUUCUAGAGGCUCCAUCCAGAAAGGAGAUUCACAGAAACCCUCUCAGAUUGCAGCCAGCACUGGCCAAGCAAUGUGCAUCUUUUUCCUGCAGUCUCACACACAUGGCAGUGGGUUUUGGUCAAUACAUAUUGAAAACAAGACUUCAGCUGCAUAUGGAAAAUGUGUUUUAACUUCAAGCCUGUUUUUUAACUGUCUGAAAAGUUUUAAGGAAAUACUUUAGAAGCUGUAACUGGUGUUUCAACUAUGCACCUGUAAGGGUUUGCUGCCAGUCCAGCUGGUGAUGGCUGGUCACAAUUAGCUCUAGCCCUUAAUAAAGGAUAAAACUUCUGUCCAGGAGUCCCUGCA